UUGCAAGCUGCAGGAAACAUUAAAUUCCAAAACCAGAAAGAGACAAAAGGUUUACAAGUGAUGAAAAUUUGUGUGAACUAAAGAAAUAUUGGGAUUAGAUCAAUAUAACAAAAGUUAAAAAGCAAUCUUUCGAAGUGGACAAAGUAAGAAUUUCAAGUAUAAAUCAAACUUUUUGUUAAUAAAAAAGAGUUGAAUCAGACAAAUUGGUUUUGGUUGUUGGGAGAGGCAUAUAAAAAGCACAAGAAACAAAAGCUCACCCUGUUGAUGAACGCUAUCAUGUGAAACAAAAUGCCAG
rnacentral:misc_RNA from 1 species